UUGUGCGCAUUUUGCUAUUAUGUGUUCUUUUAAUUAAAAUGAUUCUUUUUAAGGGUUUUCAUCACUUCUGUUUUGAUUCCCUUGUUACUUUUAGUAAAUUAUAGUGUUCAAA
rnacentral:rRNA from 1 species